AGAGUUUGAUCCUGGCUCAGAGCGAACGCUGGCGGCGUGCUUAACACAUGCAAGUCGAGUGCGCGCCUGUAGCAAUACAGGUGGCGCACGGCGCACGGGUGCGUAACACGUGGGUAAUCUGCCCUUCGAUGGGGAAUAACUCCGGGAAACCGAAGCUAAUUCCGCAUAACAUUCCUUGAACUUCGGUUUGGGGACUCAAAGCCGUAAGGCGUCGGAGGAGGAACCCGCGCACGAUUAGCUAGUUGGUAGGGUAACGGCCUACCAAGGCUUUGAUCGUUAGCUGGUCUGAGAGGAUGGCCAGCCACACUGGAACUGAGACACGGUCCAGACUCCUACGGGAGGCAGCAGUGGGGAAUCUUGCACAAUGGGCGAAAGCCUGAUGCAGCGACGCCGCGUGGGGGAUGAAGCUUUUCGGAGUG
rnacentral:rRNA from 1 species